rnacentral:tRNA from 1 species
GCUGGGAUUGCCGGGGGCCAUGGCAGCCAGCCUAGGUCGCCGGGUCGACCGCCUGCACCGGUUCGAUACCGAGAUCCCGGUA